rnacentral:rRNA from 1 species
ACCAGCGGAGGGAUCAUUACCGAGUUUACAACUCCCAAACCCCUGUGAACAUACCUAUACGUUGCCUCGGCGGAUCAGCCCGCGCCCUGUAAAAAGGGACGGCCCGCCCGAGGACCCUAAACUCUGUUUUUAGUGGAACUUCUGAGUAAAACAAACAAAUAAAUCAAAACUUUCAACAACGGAUCUCUUGGUUCUGGCAUCGAUGAAGAACGCAGCAAAAUGCGAUAAGUAAUGUGAAUUGCAGAAUUCAGUGAAUCAUCGAAUCUUUGAACGCACAUUGCGCCCGCCAGUAUUCUGGCGGGCAUGCCUGUUCGAGCGUCAUUUCAACCCUCAAGCUCAGCUUGGUGUUGGGACUCGCGGUAACCCGCGUUCCCCAAAUCGAUUGGCGGUCACGUCGAGCUUCCAUAGCGUAGUAAUCAUACACCUCGUUACUGGUAAUCGUCGCGGCCACGCCGUAAAACCCCAACUUCUGAAUGUUGACCUCGGAUCAGGUAGGAAUACCCGCUGAACUUAAGCAUAU